UACGAAGGGGGCUAGCGUUGUUCGGAAUUACUGGGCGUAAAGCGCACGUAGGCGGGUUGUUAAGUCAGGGGUGAAAUCCUGGAGCUCAACUCCAGAACUGCCUUUGAUACUGGCAACCUAGAGACUGGAAGAGGUUAGUGGAAUUCCCGGUGUAGAGGUGAAAUUCGUAGAUAUCGGGAGGAACACCGGUGGCGAAGGCGGCGACCUGGGUCGAGACUGACGCUGAGGCGCGAAAGCGUGGGGAGCAAACAGG
rnacentral:rRNA from 1 species